GUCCAUGUUCCUAUGAAUAGAAAGCAGACACACAGUGGAAAACCUGUCCUGACCCAUUGAUGAUCUUAGUUUUGUCUUAACAAGUCCUUGGGCACUGAUACUCCUUUCACACUCGCAUGAUGUGACAGGGAACACACAUGAUAUGGACAAAACAGUGUAAAUGAUGGGGUAUAGCUGGGAAUCACAAUGUGCAACAGAGCCCUGAAGGGUAGUAGGUGUGUUGGGUACACCCUUCCACCUAGCCUGCCAUAUAAAGUGCAACUCAGCAGGCAGGGACUGAGUGGAAGGGAGAUCAUCAUUGAACCAUUCAAGGUCACUAGCACUGACAGGAGAGGAGCACAUUUGUUCAGACGAACGUUCCGAUACAACAUCUACCACGAAAAGCCAACCGAUUUCUAACGAUGCAAAUACAGAUUACAUGGACACAAGUGUCUUGACUCCAAGUGCUUCGAACGACGGAUUUCAAAUCGUAAUUAUUGCUGUUGCGUGCGCAGUGUCUGCGUUGAUCAUCGUCAUAGCAAUCCUCAUUGCCGUGAUAUGUGUACAGCGUAAACGCCUAUCCGUUGCUAACGCCCAACUUCAAGAUACGCCUCGCGUAGAACACGUGUCUCAAGAGGAAGAGAGGCAUGACGUCAUAAGUGUUCAUUAUGAAGUCGUCCCUGACGACAAUACAGAUCGCGGAGCAUCACCAAUGUACACAUCUCUCCAGACCAAUCAACAGGUGGCGGAAAUUCAUCUGUACACUGGCUUGCGGGAAUCAAGGCCCUUGUCCCAAGAAACGUCUACUUAUUAUUCAGUGGCCGAGCAGGGGAAUGACGUUCCAGGGGAGACUAACACCCAAUCACAUGACAAAAUUUAUUAUAAUGUAGCCUCACACAGAAUACAUAUAUAAACCCUAAACAUUUCAAAGCGGUCUACAUACGUUUUGGGUUUAGCUUGAAGUAUGUGGGAGUGAGUUUUACAAUUAUUUGACUGUGUAUGUCACACACAACUUACCAGCCAUGUUUUUUGCUAAUAAAACACAUUUAUCUACGAUUUUAUGAAUUAAUAAAAUAUUAAUAUUAAUAUUAAUCUUAUUUAAUUAGCCGUACUCACUUCUGAAAAUUGAAAUUUUGACUGUUGUAUUACAUAUAAUAAAGGCUAAAGUUACAUUAUUUUACCAUAUUCUCUUCUAAGGUAAAACAGGAAUUGUUUAUUGCUAUGUUGUAUAAUAUGCCCUUUACAGAUAACCUAUGUUAACAUGAUCACGUUUGAGAUAACAAUGUAUAUUUAAUUGUUAUUUUUAUUAAUAUUAUGCAUGAACCUAAUGCUAUUCUUUUUUACCAUGUUUACCUAAGACAUGAAAAUGGACGGGAUUGUUCACUGUUACAUUAUACAGUAAUACACUUACAGCUUAAUUUUUGUAAAAUGUUCACUUCUUCUGAGGUGAACAUGUUAUUAUAUGCUGCUGUGUGAUGUAAUAUUAACUUGGAAGCCUAAUUAUUUUUAGAUGUUUACAACGUAUGUAAAAAUGGAAUUGUUAAUUGUUGAAAAUGGAAUUCUGUACUUUUAUCUUAUAUAAUAUAAAACUUAAAACCUGAGUCUUGUCAGUAUUUUCACUUUUGAUGUGUAUAUGGAAUUAUUGAGUGUUGAAAAUGGAACUACUGACUGCUAUUUUAUACUAUAUAAAUUGUUAGGCUCGUUUAUGUUGACUUGUUCACAUCUAAGGUGAAAAUAGCAUGGUUGGUUAUUGUAUUAUUUUAUAUAAAACUUGAACCUUAAUUAUGUAUCAAGUUCUUUUCGCAUGUAAACGUGGAUUUGUUAAAUUUUAUUUUAUAUAAUACAGUACUUUAGAUAGUGUAGUUUAUUUAAAUUAUAUAACUGUUUUCUAUUAAAAGGAGUAAACCUUCACUAAUAUGCAGUACAGUAAAGUUUUCUAAUUCGUGAUUAGUUCUAGGCUAAGUGUGAAGUUCUUAGCUCCAUAAAUCUUCUUAAACCCUUAGUAUUUUGUCAUUGACCUUAAAAGGUGGUGACCCUAUUUUGUACACAUUUGCGAGUUUUAUGUACAUAUGUGUCUUGUCUAGUGAAUGUAUUUUGUGUCUCACUGUAAAUAAAGUACCGCUUUGUAUAACAAUGGUUUUCUCUAUUCUAAUGCAGCUGAAGAUUCACUUGAUGAGUAUUUUAAAUGAUUAUAAUUACUGAAAGAAAAAAAUAUUUUUGAUUUAUGUUUCUUAUAUAUAUAUUUCAUAAAAGGGCCCCGAACUGAGCUAUAGUGUACUAAUUCUACUUCCGCCACUUGCAUUGCAGUAAAUCUGUUAUCAAUUCAUACCUCUGAAAAGCAUUUCACCAUCAUUGCGCCAGACUCAAUUCAAUGGUUUCUUUGCAGUAAUAUAAUUGUACAGUGCAGUUUUUAGCAACAAAAUCAAUUUCAUAACUUUUUGUUGUCUAGUAAAUUGCUUGAUUACCUGUUGUUAACAACUUACGAGACUUUGAGUCUUAAAUCAGAUCAUGAUUAAGAUUAAUAGAAGAUAAUAUUUAGACCAUGUAUUCGAGCGCCUAAGAGACGAUACAAUGUUUUACCCUGUGCAUUUCAUCGUGGCCUUAGUUUUCGCUAUUAUCAUACUUAACACACUUUAUAUUAUAACAAUAUAUAUAUAUUAUGUUUAAUAGUCUGGUUUAAAAUGACAAGAAAUCUCUUUUGUUGUUAAAGUUAAUAAACACAUUCAGUCUUAAAAUGGUAUUGAGUUGCUUAACAUCCUUAUGAAUAUCAAAUAUCAGUAUUAUAUAAAGUAAAAUUGUCUGACGAAUGGUCAGUUUACGUUAAAUCUGUUUAACAUAAACGAAUCAUAUUAGUAAUGUGCUACUCUACCCUUAAUUUCGUUGAUCUUCCUUUCAAUUAGAUAAGAAACAAUAGUAACCGGCUAUAAACUAGGCCACUAAUAGUUCAUUAAGCAAUUAUGCGAUUUUCUGUUGUCCUGAAUAUUGAUUCAUUUUGUAACGUUUGAAGAUAAGAUUUUCUUAUCAAUUUAUAUUUUUAUACUAAACUGUAAAUAAGUCUGAGAAUUCUGAACACUAUUUCUUUGCUACAUCUUUAGUGGUUAAGCGCUUAAAGGGGAGAUUUUUACACCAAUACAUAAUAUACUCCCGAUGAAUAUAAAAGCCCAUGUUAAGUUAAAAUACUAAAAAGCCAUAACAAGAAGUGUUGAUAAUGAUUUCAUUUAUUUAUAAAAAAAUAAUUACAUUUGAAAUGCAUCUAAUAAUAGUGAGUAUCUUUCAAAACAUCGCAAGGAUAUAUCGGUGACAAUCAUGUGUUUUUUCUUCUGGGUUUUGAAAAAGUGUAUUGCUUUAGGCUUUGGUUUAGAGUAUUAUUUCACUAUGUAUUUCGUUCUAUAUUUGUUUAGUUUAUGAACAAUUUAUAAGCCUUUAUUUUAUUUGCGCAAUUAAUUAUAGUCGUUAGAAACAGCUCAUAAUAUUUAUAAAAAUUAGUAUUUGAUAGUGGACGUUAUUGUUAAUUUUAUAACUGACAUUGCAUAUAUGAGUUCUUGUAAUUAAAUACAAAUACUACACAUUUCGCCGUCAUGCUUUGGAUGUAGUUUGUAGUAUCGGCUACAAGUUUGGUUUAUUGACGACGAAUAGGGAGUGUGUGGCAACAAUUAAACAAUACCUGAAACAACGAUGUGUUAAGGCUCACGUUUACAUAUGUUCAAAGGAAAAUGUACUAAGGUCGAAAACAACUUUAUAAAAUUUUGUGUUGAUGUUAAACGUUUAAGCACAUGUAACAUCUACUUAUUUAUAGUAUGUUGUUUUUCUAAACACACUCUGUAAUGACUUGAAGAAAUAAACCAUGUAUUUGUUUGACUAAUUAUACAAGUAACUGCUUACGGAAAUGACCAUUUAAACUACAACUUGGCUAAGUUAUUGUCUCUUUGCGCAUUAUUGACGUCACUUACUUUUAUACAAUCUACUGUCUAUGGGCGUGAACACUUAUGUGAACUUGUGAAAAGACGUUAUUGUUUAGUCGAGUUUUUUUAAUGUAAUUAUUAGUUUGUUUGGGGUAGUCGAUUGUUAUUAUAUAACAACACAAAAAUCUAAUUCGAAAUGUGUUUGAUUCCUUUAUUUACUACUUGUUUUUUUAAUGAUUUCUCGAUUUAUUUGUUUUAGUAAAUGAGUACUUGAGCUUUCAAAAUAUCGUAUCACUUCAGGUGUUAUAUAAGUUCCUAAGGAAGAUGCAUUUUUCGGAUUUAAUAUUGGUAUCAGUUCUACUUCCGAGUAUAAAUGCGACUUAACAACCAUGCGCCCACAGCUGCGGCUGUACUGAAGUUGAAACCCCUUCCCGUCUAUUUUAUGGAAGAAAUGUCACAAUAACAUUCAGGCCUUCUAACAUCACGAAUGCUGCUCCUCAACUAAUGGAUGUUGACAAUCAAAAUGUGUCAUACAAACAUCACCAUCAUGAUAAUGAAACAAAUGUCUUUACAUUUAUUCUGAGCCAGAACAGAACGACUGAACGUAACCAAACGUUAAAUUGAUGAAAUAUGACAGGUGUUAUUCUGCUUUCAUCCGGUUUGAAUUGAAAGGUUUGUUAAAUGUUGACAUAUUAUAUACAUGAAUCAUUUUAUAGUCAUGAAACGAUAGGUAAAGAUAUCCUUAUAUAAUGUUACAGUUGAAAUAUAUUCAAUGAUAUUUAGAAGUGGCGAAAUGCUUGUAAUUCUCAAUAUUACGUAUUUACCACGUUGUGCUUGCACGUAUAUAGCUGUAUGAAAACUCCGAAAAUCUCCAUUCGUCCUUCUUUUAAAAUUUUUAAUCAGCAACUAUUUCCUGAAAUUUAGCGACGAUUCAUUAGACAUCCGGUUCAAUUAUUUGUCUUAGAUAUAUAGGACUUUAAAAAACUAUUGAAAGUAUAAAUUAAAUAAUUGAUAACAAUUGUAUGGAAUUCAAUGCACAAUUCUUGACUUAUCUGUGCGAGGAAAUUAUCAGCAACUACUGACUGGAGCGCAAUGAAAAAUAAUUGCUAAAUAGAAGUUUGCAUUUAAUUGGUGUGUAUUAGGUCUU